UAAAGACCUAGACUGAAUAAUGUACUUUUACGACAAAACGUUUACGGAGGCAAUCGUGAUUUAUAACACUGACAACCUAGUGUUCCGGAUGUAAAACGUAAGGCUUGUGAUGUCAUGACCCGUAAUAUCAAAACCAGAAAUCUGCCGCGAGAGAAUCAUGCUAACCUUCCUAAUCUUUUAUUCUUAAAAUAAAAGUGCAGUUUCUUCCAUUUUUGUGAAGCAUUGGAGUGUAACUUGUCGCGCGGAUGUGGCUGUCAUGCAGGCAAUAGGUCUCAUUGUAUUAACUAAAUAAAUAUCUAGAAAAUGGAUGAAGAAGAAGUAUUUGAAGAUACCGUAUCUGUGACAUCAGAACCGUCAAAGCGCGACAAAGAGUAUAUAAGUCUUUCACGCUUUACUGUCUACCACAGUGCAGAAGACAUUCCAUUGGAAGAACAAGAAGAAGCUGAUGGUGAUAAGGCAGUCAGUGCAGAGAAUUGUAGGCUGAUGGACAAACCUGCACAGUUCAGCACCAGUGACGCAGAAGACAAGAUUCCCACAAUGUCAAUUAAUGGAAGUUCAGUGGACUUCGUACUGGUGUGGGAAGAAGAAGGAAGCAAAGCAGCAUCUAGUGCUGCAGCAAAUGCCAAAAUAAAACGAGAGAUCUUUGAAAAACAUUUGGAAGAAGAAGGUCUGAUUCUGGAACAUGAAAAAGUGAAGCAUUUGAAUUUUGUGAAAAUACAUGCUACUCAUGAAGUGCUGUGCCGUUAUACUGAAAUCCUGAAACUUCGUAUGCCAAUGAAAGAGUUUGAUGGUGCAUACUUGGAGGAACCUUCAUUUGACAUAAUGCAAGAAGUCAAAUCACUUGUGAAGCGUGCCUUAGAGUUUGUACGAGUGGACCCCAAAGUGUUCAAGCCAGUGGAACGAAAGUUAACUGCAGAGUUUAGUCGAGAUAAAGAAUAUUUAUUUGAUGUUGAUGCACCAAAUUUCUUCACACCUGCAGUAAGGAUCCUAGUUGUUGAUUUUAUUUUACAGCGGCAGAAAUUUUCUGAGGAUUCUGGGGAUUUAUUUUCAUUUGGAAUCAAUAGAUUGAUUACAGAAGGUGUUUACAAGGCUGCUUAUCCUCUCCAUGAUGGCGAUUUUAGAGACAGAUCAUGUAUGAGAGGUCUGUUAUUUCAUGAGUGGGCAUCUGUGCAAAAAUGGAUAAAAUUCCAGCCAGUAGAUCAUGUAAAAGAUUAUUUUGGUGUAAAAUUCGGAUUAUAUUUUGCUUGGCUUGGUUUUUAUUCUCAUAUGUUGAUACCUGCUUCAAUAGUUGGUCUUAUAUGUUUCUUCUAUGGAGUCUGUACUAUGUUUUCGAAUCGCUUAAGUCAAGACAUUUGCAAUGAAAGCUUAAACAUUACAAUGUGUCCACUAUGUGACAGAACAUGUGAAUAUUGGAACCUAGCAGAGACGUGUACAUAUGCACGCAUCACAUACUUAUUUGACAAUCCAUUUACUGUGUUCUUCGCAAUAUUUAUGUCCUUUUGGGCGACACUGUUCCUGGAACUGUGGAAACGGUACUCAGCUAGCAUAGUACAUCGCUGGGGGCUCACUGGUUUUGAUCUCCAGGCUGAGCAUCCCCGUCCAGAAUAUCUGGCACGUCUUUCUCAUGUAAAGCGCAACAAAGUGAAUGUCGUUACUGGACUGGAGGAACCCUAUGUGCCAUUCUGGAAAGUGAGAGUGCCUGCAACCAUUCUGAGCUUCUCAGUUGUUUUGCUUCUGAUUGCUUUGGCCGUUGGUGCGGUUUUUGGAGUUGUACUUUAUCGUAUACACUAGAUCGCGUGUUGAUUGAAUACUACCGGCACCAUGCGGACUUUUCUCUAUGGGAAAAUUGCUUCGGGAUUGAAUACAACAGGAACCAUGCGGACUUUUCUCAAUUCGACCUAUGUCUCAAACUGUCUACGCUUUGAUUGUUCCCUGGGAGACCAGUAGUAGUUUACAUUGAAGAUCUAUCUAUUUCAGUUUGUUAACUACUACACAUCUAUUUUCUACAUAGCAUUUCUCAAAGGAAAAUUUGUGGGUUAUCCCUCAAAAUACAACAGAAUUCUUGGUUAUAGACAAGAGGAGUGCAGUCCAGGUGGUUGUCUUAUGGAAUUGUGUAUACAGCUAGCUAUUAUAAUGGUUGGAAAGCAAGCAAUGAAUAGCAUACUGGAAAUGGUCAUACCGCUGCUACAGAAAUGGUACAAUACUUUCAAACUGCUAACUGGACUUGGAAAAGAAGAUGAUGCAAAAGCUGUGAGCAGCACUCGCUGGGCCCAAGAUUAUAGGCUUUUGGACUGGGGUCCAAGAGGACUUUUUCCAGAAUAUCUGGAAAUGGUUUUACAGUAUGGAUUUGUUACAAUUUUUGUUGCGGCCUUUCCACUGGCUCCAUUCUUUGCGCUGCUCAAUAAUGUGCUUGAAAUGAGACUGGAUGCAAAGAAGUUCCUCAAAUUUUAUAGGCGUCCUGUGCCUCACAGAGUUAAAGAUAUAGGAGUAUGGUUUCGCAUACUUGAUAUAAUUGGAAGACUAGCUGUUGUGACGAAUGCAUUUAUUAUUGCAUUUUCCUCAAAUUUCAUUCCACGUCUUGUGUAUAUGUCAGUGGUCAACCCAAACCAUACAGAUGAGGGUUUCCUGAAUCAUUCACUAGCAUAUUUCAAUACAUCAGAUUUUCCAUCACACUAUGCACCCCGCCAUCCAGAAAAUGUCACAAUGUGCAGGUACUUAGAAUAUCGCAAUCCUCCUUGGGACCCUCAUCCAUAUAAGCGGCCACCCAUUUACUGGCAUGUUCUGGCAGCAAGACUGGCAUUUAUAGUUGUUUUUCAGAAUGUUGUGGGAGUUGUGAUGGCUGCAGUGGAGUGGUGUAUACCUGACAUGUCACGGAAACUACGGGAUGAAAUAAGACGUGAAGCAUAUUUGACAAAUGAAAUCAUCAUUAAACAGGAGGCAAUGAGAGCUCGUGCUCGCUUGAGUCAAGUCAGCUCCGGGGAAUUCUUGGAAGCUGAGAGAAAAGGAGGAUCUGGUGAAAAUGGAGUUAGACAUCGUGAAGGCCAAUGGAACAAUCUUGUUGUUUGAGUUGCAAGUUAUUUAUUAUUUUCUUAAUAAGGUAAAGUGCAUCAAAAAACUGCUGUUAUAACUUUACAGGCUUUAAGCAGUUAAUUUAUUAAAAAGAUAAGUGGCUUAUGUCAAGAGAAGCCAGCAAUGUGAAUUUUGUAUAAGUUCCUUUUUCUAUGUUUUACUCUGAGGAAGUAAUAAUCACAUUCAAUUUCAUAUUUACUUCAGAUUACUAAUAAUGUUAUGUAAAUGUAUAAAACUGCUUCUAAUGUUGUAGAAUGUGAAAGUUUUCAACAAAGAUCUAUAUCCUCAAGGCUAUUUUGUAUAAAGUUGUAUUCUAAAGAUACAGACAGUAAAAUAUUUGUGGUCACAUAUCUAUUAUUGCCAAUAUAUUUAUAUUUAUUAACAUAUUUCAGAAUUUCAUAUCUUCAUUGCAAGAAGAGGAACAGAUCUGAAAUAUAUUUUGCUACUGAAAUAGUGAAAGUUUAUGAAAAAUGUAGCAGCUAGGUUUUUACAUGAAAAAGCAAUUUGGUAUUGCUUUUCAAGUUGUUAGUUGGUCAGUAAAGAGUCAUUUUUAGUUUAUGUUUAUGAUGGAAUUGAAUUCUGUCAAUUUUCAUAAGUAGUUGAGGCAUUGUGAAGUUAAAACUUUCCAUAUUGUACAUUGUAAAUGUGUGUUGUGAUAAUGAAUGUUGGUACUUAAAUUUUUAUUGUUGAAUAAUGGAUGAACAAUUUUAUAAUGUGUUGUUUGUAAUGUGAUUUUUAUAUUCUACUCAGUAGAUGAUGAUGAAGGGAUAGUCUAGCUUUUAUAUUUGUAUAUUUAAAUGUUACAGAUGUUUUUGGACAUUUUGUAAUUUUUUUUCCACUCCUUUAAUUAUUAAUAUAAAUACAUCACAAUUUAUAUUAUUUAUAACAAAAAUAAUGUAGUGUAAAAGUUUCAGUUCAAUGAAAGUGAUUCCAAAGUUGCAUUUAUAAUGUGAUUUAUGAAAAGAAGCAGAUCCUACUGCCAAAAUAUUUUGUCAUUUUAUGUGAUGUAUGCUUUGUGCCUGCACUUUAAGCUUUCUCUGGUACCUGAAAUUAAUGUUAGUUUGAUAUGCAUUUAAUUAAAGGAAAAUAGUCUUGUCAUAGGCAUCAUAGUGCGUAUAUAUUUCAGUGAAAAUGUUAUUGUACAGAAAGUUAUACAUAAAGACACUUUUAUAAACUUUUUAUUGAAAAUUAUGUUCCACUUAUUAAAAUACAGUAAUACAAUAUUUUCUGUAACUGGUAAUCUUUUUGCCUGUAUGACAACUAAUCAGAAAUUUACCAAAAGUGUUUGUAGACUGGUUGUUCUGCAUGUCACCUAUAUUUAUGUUCUUCCAGGGAAUGUGUAGGGUUAUGAAUAAUUGAAUCAAUAUAUGCUAUGAACUCCACAGGAGUGUAUUAAGAUGUGGUAAGCACUAUGAAAUGGGUACCCAUGUGUAUCAUUAGGGAGCAAAAAUUUGCAUGAACUACUAAUAGAUGCAGUUUUGAGAUAACUGGGGGAAAAAAUGUUAAGUGGAAUAACUGCAAAGCUGCACAUGGAUGCCAAACAUUAUAAAGGAGAGAGUUUUUCUGGUCGCAUUGGGGUUCAUUUUGAUUUCCUGCAAUAAUUGUCUAUAUUUCAGUAAUCUCUUACAAAAAUCUUACAGGUACUGCUAAAUUUAUCUUUACCUGUAAUAAAUGGAACCUGACUUCCACCAUGUCAGUUAAGGGAGUUUGAAAUUUUAGAGUGCUGGUCAUUAUUAUUAUUACCUACUGUGAUUUAUGUAAUCAAUGAUGAGCUCUUUUUGCCAUGUUCCUGUACAUUAUAAAAAAGGAGGGACAAAAUACUUACAGAACCAGUGACAGCUCAUCUGUUUAGCCAUUUACACCAUAACUGCGUAUUACAAUUUGUUUCUGGAGAUCUGCUAAGGCCUGUGUACUACGACACAUAGUAAUAUCCACUUCUUAGUGGCAUAGUCACCUUAGAAAAGGUUUGAAUUUUUUUUUUUUUUUGAAUAAUUUUCUUUUUUACUAUAUUGGCAUUUAAAAAAUGUUAAAUUCUAGCUACUCUAGAAUUAUGAUUCCCUUAUUUGUUCCUUGUUUUUCUUCUGUUUAAUUCCUCUGCCUCCAUCUUGCCAAAUGCAUUAAUCUCUUUUUCAUUUGUGCCUUUUAGUUGCAAAUGUCAAAACAUUUUUUUAUGGCUAAGAAAUGCUAAUUUAAAAUGUGACAUUUAAACUGUUAAGACUUUUGAAUAAAGAUCAGUAAAAGUGCUGUAAAUUCAAUCAAAAUUUAGAUUUUUGUAAUAAAAAUAUUUACCUAACAA